UAAUACGGAGGGUGCAAGCGUUGUUCGGAAUCAUUGGGCGUAAAGCGCGUGUAGGCGGUCUGAGUAGUCGGGUGUGAAAGCCCUGGGCUUAACCCAGGAAUUGCGCCCGAAACCAUCAGACUAGGGUUCAGGAGGGGAGUGUGGAAUUCCCAGUGUAGCAGUGAAAUGCGUAGAUAUUGGGAGGAACACCGGUGGCGAAAGCGACACUCUGGACUGACACCGACGCUAAGACGCGAAAGCGUGGGGAGCAAACAGG
rnacentral:rRNA from 1 species